GGUCAUGGCUCAGUGGUAGAGCUUCCCUAGCACAAGUGAGGUACUGGGUUCGAUCCCCAGCACCA
rnacentral:tRNA from 1 species